UACAGAGGUCCCGAGCGUUGUUCGGAUUCAUUGGGCGUAAAGGGUGCGUAGGCGGCGAGCUAAGUUUGGUGUGAAAUCCUGGGGCUCAACCCCAGAAUUGCACUGAAUACUGGUUUGCUAGAGGACUGGAGAGGAGAUUGGAAUUCACGGUGUAGCAGUGAAAUGCGUAGAUAUCGUGAGGAAGACCAGUGGCGAAGGCGAAUCUCUGGACAGUUCCUGACGCUGAGGCACGAAGGCUAGGGGAGCAAACGGG
rnacentral:rRNA from 1 species